rnacentral:rRNA from 1 species
UGGGGAAUAUUGGACAAUGGGCGCAAGCCUGAUCCAGCCAUGCCGCGUGAGUGACGAAGGUCUUCGGAUUGUAAAGCUCUUUUGGCGGGGACGAUAAUGACGGUACCCGCAGAAUAAGCCCCGGCUAACUUCGUGCCAGCAGCCGCGGUAAUACGAAGGGGGCUAGCGUUGUUCGGAAUCACUGGGCGUAAAGGGCGCGUAGGCGGCAAUUCAAGUCAUCUGUGAAAUCUCCGGGCUUAACUCGGAACGGUCAGAUGAUACUGCUUUGCUAGAGUGCAGAAGGGGCAAUCGGAAUUCUUGGUGUAGCGGUGAAAUGCGUAGAUAUCAAGAGGAACACCUGAGGUGAAGACGGGUUGCUGGGCUGACACUGACGCUGAGGCGCGAAAGCCAGGGGAGCAAACGGGAUUAGAUACCCUCGUAGUCCCUGAGCGGGCUGGCAAGGCGCAU